AAAUAUGAUGUGAAAUAAUCAGAACUCUUAAUAUUACAUUGUCAGCUAAUCCAAUCUGGUAGGAUAGGUAAAAAUGCCAAUGCAGAUGCUUUUCAAGUAAGAAAUAUAUUUAUGCAGUUCUUUAAUUUACUUUUUGGUGCCAUAUCUUGGCAGACUAAUCAUAUAAGUUUAAGGUUACAUGAAUAUGACCAUUGAUAUGGUCUGUUAAACUAAAGAAGUUUAAAAAAAGUAAGCAGGCUAUGUAGAUGUAUUAAAAAGGAUUUUUAUGAAAAACAAAGUUGUUGUGUUAACAUAAGUUAAGAAAAAUAUAUAGUAUUAAGACUAAGUAUGUACAGUUUUAGAUUAUGGUAUAAUUACUGUAUAAAUUGUAAAAUACAGUCAUCAAGCUUCCUAUAACACAGUUGGUUAGUACAACUCAGAGGGUUGUCCAAAUUUAUUAAAUCUUGCUAUAUAGAAACAAUGUUACAACAAUAUCGCGUUAUAGGAGGAUUUUCAGAAUUUUUGCACUGUGUUACAAAAGGGUUAAAUAUACAAACCAUUCUGCAAUCCAUGUUUUGCUGCAAUUUGUUUCCAGGCCUUUCCUUUUAAUUCAUUGUCUUUGUACACCGUUGCGUCUUUAUCCCAUACACAUGGAUAUUUUCUGAUAGUCUCAAUAAAUUAUUCAGUUUCUGUUAUACAUAAGCUGUUUCUGUUAUACAUCACUAGUCGUAACAAAUUUAAACUGACAAUUGACAAGUAGAACAAUCGAAAAACAGUGGUAGCACGGUCGUAUACACACGUUUGGCGAUUUCUGUGGUGGGGGUAAGUUAGUGGAUCGCUUAUUUUGUGUUCGGGUUGGGAAAUAUGCGUCGGUGGCUUGUAUCGAUGAGUAGCGGAGGAGAAAUGUGUACAUGACAUGGAGCACGGCUAAAGCAAACAUACACUGUUAGCCAUAAGUACUAGGACUUUUAUUGAUAUUUAGUAUAAAUUACAUGCUACUCAUCGUUUUCAUUUUCUAUUAUUAUAUUAUACAAAACAUAUGAAAAACAUAAAUCAAAGCAAAUAGAGAAGUAGGAAGCACCCGAUAUCUGAAAAGUCACCUAGCUGUGAAAUAUGAUAUGCUGUGCCUACCAUAAAAAAUGUUAUUACAUUUACUUCAUAAGCCUGUUUUGUAUGCAAAUCAGACGUAUCACUUGUAUUAACUUCUAAAUUUAUUUUCAUCAUAUCCUGCAGCUUCAACAAUUUCCUCAAGCUCUCUUAUGAAUAUAGAGGCUCCUUGUGUCCUUGUCUAAUAACACAUGCACAUUCGCACAGAAAAUAUGUAUGUGUAUACCGAUCGGUUACCGGCAAACGGUAUUAGUCUGCAUUCUUGAUUAGACAAGGACUGAAGGAAAGGGUCUCUAUGCAGCGUUGUUUUUCUAUUGUCAUAUCGUAUCCCUUACACGGUAACAUAUGUAUGACAUAUGACUUGUAUAUUAUAUCUUCAUAUCUUCAUGGCCGGUACGAACUCUGAACGUAGAGGCGAUAAUUCGUAGUGCGCACUUUUCGGCUCACUUUUUUAUCAUUUCCCCAUUCAUUUAUGGCGAUAAUUUAGGAAAUAUAUAUACGUAUGUAUGUCCAAAUAAAUUUUAUUACUAAAUUC